rnacentral:rRNA from 1 species
GACGAACGCUGGCGGCGUGCUUAACACAUGCAAGUCGAACGGAAAGGCCCUGCUUUUGUGGGGUGCUCGAGUGGCGAACGGGUGAGUAACACGUGAGUAACCUGCCCUUGACUUUGGGAUAACUUCAGGAAACUGGGGCUAAUACCGGAUAGGAGCUCCUGCUGCAUGGUGGGGGUUGGAAAGUUUCGGCGGUUGGGGAUGGACUCGCGGCUUAUCAGCUUGUUGGUGGGGUAGUGGCUUACCAAGGCUUUGACGGGUAGCCGGCCUGAGAGGGUGACCGGCCACAUUGGGACUGAGAUACGGCCCAGACUCAUACGGGAGGCAGCAGUGGGGAAUAUUGCACAAUGGGCGGAAGCCUGAUGCAGCAACGCCGCGUGCGGGAGGACGGCCUUCGGGUUGUAAACCGCUUUCGCCUGUGACGAAGCGUGGGUGACGGUAAUGGGGAAAGAAGCACCGGCUAACUACGU